GGAUUGACACAUCGGUCGUGCCUUAAGGGGUAUGAACUGGUGUAGUCAAUUUCUCACCUUCUGGAGAGCCGCGAUGCCCUUAAUUGGGUGUCACGGGGAACCAGGACCUUUACUUUGAAAAAUUAGAGUGUUUAAAGCAGGCAUUUUGCUUGAAUACAUUAGCAUGGAAUAAUAAAAUAGGACGGCAUGAUUCUAUUUUGUUGGUUUCUAGGAUCACCGUAAUGAUUAAUAGGGAUAGUUGGG
rnacentral:rRNA from 1 species